UACGGAGGGUGCAAGCGUUAUCCGGAUUCACUGGGUUUAAAGGGUGCGUAGGUGGGUUGGUAAGUCAGUGGUGAAAUCCCCGAGCUUAACUUGGGAACUGCCAUUGAUACUAUCAGUCUUGAAUAUUGUGGAGGUUAGCGGAAUAUGUCAUGUAGCGGUGAAAUGCUUAGAUAUGACAUAGAACACCAAUUGCGAAGGCAGCUCGUUACACGAAUAUUGACUCUGAGGCACGAAAGCGUGGGGAUCAAACAGG
rnacentral:rRNA from 1 species